UGAGGGAAAGUUGAAAAGGACUUUGAAGAGAGAGUUCAAGAGUGCGUGAAACUGCUCGGAGGCAAACGGGUGGGGCCUCGAACGUUCCUCGCCUGAUGGUUCGGUCGGACAGGCGCGAGCCCGAUGGCGCGUCAGGUUCCGUGAGGGAACURUCCGCUCUCGUGGUGCUCGAGUCUUCCGGUGCAUUCCAUCCGGCAUGGACGUCGCAGCCGGUUGGGGCGCGGUCAGCCUAAAGAGCGGGCAACGGCAGGUGGCAGCGGGUUUUUCACCGCUGUGUCUGGCCGGCUCGUUCUCGGCGUGACACCCGACCGAGGAUGAAGUCUCCCGGUGUUGAGAUUUGCCGUGCUCUCGCCUCUGUGCGAGCGGGAUCUUUUUAUCCCCGCGGUGAGCGUACGCGGCGGCUGGCGACAUCGGUAACCCACCCGACCCGUCUUGAAACACGGACCAAGGAGUCUAACAUGUGCGCGAGUCAGUGGGACUCGAACAAGCCCACGGGCAGAACGAAAGCGACGAGUCGGGAUCCGCACCGCUCGCGGUGUGGCGCACCGACGGCCCGGUGCCUCCAGUGGGCGUCGGAGCAGGAGCGUACACGUUGGGACCCGAAAGACGGUGAACUAUUCCCGGGUAGGAUGAAGCCGGGGGAAACUCCGGUGGAGGUCCGCAGCGGUUCUGACGUGCAAUUCGAUCGUCGAACCCGGG
rnacentral:rRNA from 1 species